GAGAACAUGUCCCGGCAGAGCUCAGUGAUGUCAGCCUCAGCCGGCUCCUUUGCUUCCUCAGCUGUCUCCACGGCGGCAUCGUCUGAAUCAAAGGAGAACGAAUGGCCCCAUGGGAUUUACCACCACCAUCUCCUCCAGAAAGUCUUCCCUGCUUCUCCCAACCUGGUCUGCUGUGGACCACUUCUCACUGUGUGCUAAGCUCCAUCAUCCAGUCAUAAGGAUCUCCUCCUCUAUGGUGAUUGCCCAAGGUCAGGAGCUCCUUAUGACCUCAGCACUUAGCACCAUGCCUACGACCAUGUGAUGUUCCAUAAACGUUCAAUGAAGGGAGCCCGGAAGGGCAAAAGGAAGGGAACGUCAAGUGGGCUGUCCAAGUUGCAUGAAGAUCUGUGAGCAUUCCUCCGCUCAGCCCCCCACCCCCAUUUGACAUCUGGCUGGGGACGCUCACAGACCCACAAGAGACACAGCAAGAGAGGGAACACAAGCCGGGGAAAAGGGAGAGGGAGAAGCAGGCUUCCCGCGGAGCAGGGAGCCCAUGCGGGGCUUGAUCCCAGGACCCUGGGAUCAUGACCUGAGCCGAAGGCAGACGCUUAACGACUGAGCCACCCAGGAGCCCAUGAGUUGUUUGUCUUCUUAUGUGCUGUGAUAUAUGUCCCCAUUCUCUGGCUUAUCUAUUUGUUUUCUUAAUAUUUUUUUUGAUACCAGAAAAUUUUAACUUUCAUGAAGUCUAAUUUAUCCAUUUUUUCCCCUAUGAUUAUUGCUCUCUGUGUUCUGUCCAAAAAAUCUUUUUUACCAGAGGGUCACAGAGAUAGUGCCUUGUGGCCUUAUAUACAAACUUUAUGGCUGUGAGUUUUGCAUUUAGCACUAUGAUCAAAUUAAUUUUUGUGUAAAGUGAGUUGAGGUUGAGGUUCAUUUAUUCUGUAUGGAUAUACAGUUGUUGCAGCAAUAUUUGUUAAAGAGACUUUCCCUCCCAUGUUCUAUUGACCUGGGAACUUGGUUAAAAAAAAUAAAUAAAUAAACAGUUAACCAUAUAUGUAUAUUUCUGAAAUUUCUAGUUCAUUUCAUCGACCUACUUGUCUCUACCACACUCUCUUUACUACUGUAGCUUUAUAGUCAGUCCUGAAAUAAAAUAGUUU